UACGUAGGCCGCGAGCGUUGUUCGGAGUUACUGGGCGUAAAGCGUGCGUAGGCGGUGGUCCAAGUCUGGUGUGAAAUCUCCCGGCUCAACUGGGAGGGUGCGCCGGAAACUGGGCCGCUGGAGUAUGGGAGAGGCAAGCGGAAUUCCAGGUGUAGCGGUGAAAUGCGUAGAUAUCUGGAGGAACACCCGUGGUGCAGACGGCUUGCUGGACCAUGACUGACGCUGAGGCACGAAAGCGUGGGUAGCAAACAGG
rnacentral:rRNA from 1 species